rfam:Oryza barthii chromosome 9, whole genome shotgun sequence.
AAUGUUUGACGCCGUUGACUUUUUUAAACAUGUUUGACCGUUCGUUUUAUUUAAAAAAUUUAAGCAAUUAUUAAUUUUUUUCCUACCAUUUGAUUCAUUGUUAAAUAUACUUUUAUGUAUACAUAUAAUUUUACAUAUUUCAUAAAAAUUUUUGAAUAAGACGAACGGUCAAACGUGUUUAAAAAAGUCAACGGCGUCAAACAUU